rnacentral:tRNA from 1 species
GGAGCUGUGGCAUAGUGGGUAAAGCCGCUGCCUGCCAUGCCAGCAUCCCAUAUGGGCGCAGGUUCAAGUCCCGGCUGCUCCA